rnacentral:misc_RNA from 1 species
AGCAGCCGCGGUAAUUCCAGCUCCAAUAGCGUAUAUUAAAGUUGUUGCAGUUAAAAGCUCGUAGUUGAAUUUCGGGGUCAAUAAGUUGGUCAUGCCAAUGGUAUGCACUGGCUUUAUUGAUUCCUACCUCUUGACGAACUGUGAUGCCAUUAAUUUGGUGUUGCAAGGAAUCAGGACUGUUACCUUGAAAAAUUGAGUGUUUAAAGCAAGCUUACGCUUGAAUACAUUAGCAUGGAAUAAUGAAAUAGGACGUUUGAUCCUAUUUUGUUGGUUUCUAGGAUCGACGUAAUGGUUAAUAGGGAUAGUUGGGGGCAUUAGUAUUCAAUUGUCAGAGGUGAAAUUCUUGGAUUUAUUGAAGACUAACUACUGCGAAAGCAUUUGCCAAGGAUGUUUUCAUUAA